UACAUUGCUAUAGUGUUUGUCCUCAAAUAUAAUAGUGUCUUAGAAAAGAGACUCAAUAAUAAUAAUAAUAAUAAUAAUAAUAAUAAUCAAAAUAUCAACAACUAAAGGCACCAACAAAUAAAACAAAGAGAAUUCCAGAAAGUGGAGGCGGUUCUUGACAACUGUGGAGGAAAGAGUGAUAGUUGCAAUGCGGUAGUAGUAAGAGUAGCAGUAGUAGUUGUCAUAGUAAUAGCAGUGGUAAAAGUAGUGGUGGUGGUGGUGGUGGUGGUAUUGGCAGCAGACUUGGUAGUGGUGGUGGUGGUGGUUGUAGCUGUGGUGUAUUAGCAGCAGCAGUGACUGAAGAGGGACAAAGGAGGAAGGUGGGGCAUGAAGAAGAGAAGGACAAAGAAAGAGGACGGUACAGAGGAUGAAGACUCAAGAACUGAAGAGGACAGGGAAAGAGAAAGGAAAGAAAUGAAGGAAUUAAAGAAGAAGGAAGAGGAGGCAAAGAAGAAAAAGGAAGAGGAAGAGGCCAGGAGGAGGAAGAAGAAGAAAGACGAGGAAGAGCAGGAGGAACGGCGGAAAAGAGAAAAGAGAGAAAAAGAAGAGAUAAGGAGGAAGAAGAGAAAGAAAUAGCAAGGUGACUGGGGAAGCAAAAGACGGUGAAGAAAGAAAUAUCUCCCCACCUCACUUGUUUUGGAGACAGCAAGAAAACAUAUCUAGACAUCUUACAAUGGACAAUGCUAUGUGAAACUGUGGCUUUUAUUCAGCAAUCAGCUUCUGUUUUUGUUUUUAUUAACAACUUCCACUUAUAUUUGAAGCAAAUAUAUAUACAUAUAUAUCUCCUAUAUAACUGACUUCAUUGAUUUAUCUUUUACGAAGCUACAUAGUGACCUAAGCUGAAAGGUUGAAUGGGGAACAUAGGCAGUGAAAUUUGAAUUGAAAAAUAUCAACUAUUAAAGCUUAACAGUGUGUGGUAUGGACAAUGAAAUGUUGAAAUUUGUAAUGGAAAAGCUUACAGAAAAAGUUUGACCAUGAAAUGGGGAUUUGGUGAUUGGAACACUAAAAACAUCAGCUGAAAGAUCUGAACUCUUGACAGCAAAAAGAGGCAAUAAGAAAUGUGCUUUAUAAAGAAAUUUGAGCACUGAAAAGGUAGCUAUGAAACGUGAACAACGAAAUAUUGGUAGUGAAAUGUAAGCAAUGAGAGAUGUGUAGUAAAAGCUUGAUAAAUAAAAUUUGAGCACUAAAAAAAGAUAGCUCUGAAAUCUGAA